AUUGAACGCUGGCGGCAGGCCUAACACAUGCAAGUCGAACGAGUGGCGGACGGGUGAGUAAUGUCUGGGAAACUGCCCGAUGGAGGGGGAUAACUACUGGAAACGGUAGCUAAUACCGCAUACCAUCGGAUGUGCCCAGAUGGGAUUAGCUUGUAGGUGAGGUAACGGCUCACCUAGGCGACGAUCCCUAGCUGGUCUGAGAAGAUGACCAGCCACACUGGGACUGAGACACUGUCCAGACUCCGACGGGGGGCAGCGGUGGGGAAUAUUGCACAAUGGGCGCAAUCCUGAUGCAGCCAUGCCGCGUGUAUGAAGAAGGCCUUCGGGUUUGAAAGUACUUUCAGCGGGGAGGCGUUACCAGCAGAAGAAGCACCGGCUAACUCCGUGCCAGCCGCCGCGGUAAUAC
rnacentral:rRNA from 1 species